rnacentral:rRNA from 1 species
CCCUUAGAUGUUCUGGGCCGCACGCGCGCUACACUGAAUGCUACCAUACGAUCAUAACCCUUGUCCGUAAUGGUCAGGGAAAACGGUCAAAAGGCAUCGCCUAACAUGAUGGGAAUGAACUAUUGUAAUUUGUAGUUCUGAACGAGGAAUUCCUAGUAAUCGCUAGUCAACAACUAGCUAUGAUUACGUCCCUGCCCUUUGUACACACCGCCCGUCGCUACUACUGAUUGGGUGUUUAAGCAAGAAUCUCGGAACCUUGCAGUUUUGUCUCCGGAUGAAACAGUGAGUGGAAGAGAAUCGAGCUUAUUUGCCUAGAGGAAGUAAAAGUCGUAACA